rnacentral:Y_RNA from 1 species
GGCUGGUCCAAGUGCAGUGGUGUUUAUAACUAAUUGAUCACAACCAGUUACAGAUUUCUUUGUUCCUUCUCCACUCCCACUGCUUCACUUGACUAGCCAAAA